CGAACGGGUGAGUAACGCGUGAGGAACCUGCCUCAAAGAGGGGGACAACAGUUGGAAACGACUGCUAAUACCGCAUAAGCCCACGGCUCGGCAUCGAGCAGAGGGAAAAGGAGUGAUCCGCUUUGAGAUGGCCUCGCGUCCGAUUAGCUAGUUGGUGAGGUAACGGCCCACCUAGUCUUCGAUGGAUAGGGGUUCUGAGAGGAAGGUCCCCCACAUUGGAACUGAGACACGGUCCAA
rnacentral:rRNA from 1 species